rnacentral:rRNA from 1 species
GACGAACGCUGGCGGCGUGCUUAACACAUGCAAGUCGAACGGAAAGGCCCUGCUUUUGUGGGGUGCUCGAGUGGCGAACGGGUGAGUAACACGUGAGUAACCUGCCCUUGACUUUGGGAUAACUUCAGGAAACUGGGGCUAAUACCGGAUAGGAGCUCCUGCUGCAUGGUGGGGGUUGGAAAGUUUCGGCGGUUGGGGAUGGACUCGCGGCUUAUCAGCUUGUUGGUGGGGUAGUGGCUUACCAAGGCUUUGACGGGUAGCCGGCCUGAGAGGGUGACCGGCCACAUUGGGACUGAGAUACGGCCCAGACUCCUACGGGAGGCAGCAGUGGGGAAUAUUGCACAAUGGGCGGAAGCCUGAUGCAGCACCGCCGCGUGCGGGAUGACGGCCUUCGGGUUGUAAACCGCUUUCGCCUGUGACGAAGCGUGAGUGACGGUAAUGGGUAAAGAAGCCCCGGCUAACUACGUG